UACGAAGGGGGCUAGCGUUGUUCGGAAUCACUGGGCGUAAAGGGCGCGUAGGCGGCCGAUCAAGUCGGGGGUGAAAGCCUGUGGCUCAACCACAGAAUUGCCUUCGAUACUGUUUGGCUUGAGACCGGAAGAGGUUAGUGGAACUGCGAGUGUAGAGGUGAAAUUCGUAGAUAUUCGCAAGAACACCAGUGGCGAAGGCGGCUGACUGGUCCGGUUCUGACGCUGAGGCGCGAAAGCG
rnacentral:rRNA from 1 species